AGUCGAGCGAGCGGAACCACAGAUUUACUUCGGUAAUGACGUUGGGAAAGCGAGCGGCGGAUGGGUGAGUAACACGUGGGGAACCUGCCCCUAAGUCUGGGAUACCAUUUGGAAACAGGUGCUAAUACCGGAUAAUAAAGCAGAUCGCAUGAUCAGCUUUUGAAAGGCGGCGUAAGCUGUCGCUAAGGGAUGGCCCCGCGGUGCAUUAGCUAGUUGGUAAGGUAACGGCUUACCAAGGCGACGAUGCAUAGCCGAGUUGAGAGACUGAUCGGCCACAUUGGGACUGAGACACGGCCCAAACUCCUACGGGAGGCAGCAGUAGGGAAUCUUCCACAAUGGACGCAAGUCUGAUGGAGCAACGCCGCGUGAGUGAAGAAGGUUUUCGGAUCGUAAAGCUCUGUUGUUGGUGAAGAAGGAUAGAGGUAGUAACUGGCCUUUAUUUGACGGUAAUCAACCAGAAAGUCACGGCUAACUACGUGCCAGCAGCCGCGGUAAUACGUAGGUGGCAAGCGUUGUCCGGAUUUAUUGGGCGUAAAGCGAGCGCAGGCGGAAAAAUAAGUCUAAUGUGAAAGCCCUCGGCUUAACCGGGGAACUGCAUCGGAAACUGUUUUUCUUGAGUGCAGAAGAGGAGAGUGGAACUCCAUGUGUAGCGGUGGAAUGCGUAGAUAUAUGGAAGAACACCAGUGGCGAAGGCGGCUCUCUGGUCUGCAACUGACGCUGAGGCUCGAAAGCAUGGGUAGCGAACAGGAUUAGAUACCCUGGUAGUCCAUGCCGUAAACGAUGAGUGCUAAGUGUUGGGAGGUUUCCGCCUCUCAGUGCUGCAGCUAACGCAUUAAGCACUCCGCC
rnacentral:rRNA from 1 species